AAGUAAGAAGCAAAUUAAUUGUAAUCAGUUUCGACCUGAUAGGAAGAUAUAGUAUAUCCUUAUUUUAUUAGUGAUUUU
rnacentral:tRNA from 1 species